UCCUGUCCCUCCCUGCAAGAAAGGGUCAAGGCUCCCAGGAAAAGAGGAGAUUUUAUAAAACACAUGCAUGGAGUCCGGCUAGCAGCUGAUGAAGAGAAGACAUUGCAGGUUGGAGAAAAAUACUGUCAAGCACACUGAAGCAAAAAAGGAUCCAAAAGAAAAACAUCUGGCAAAACCAAGCAUUUUGAACAUGUCAACUUAUGGUUGACUGUCCUACUCUCCUACUCUCAAAAUGCAAAUGUUACGUGAAACGAAGAGAGAGACUGUGGAGUAUCAAAAAGAAGCAAAUAAAAAGAUGCAUGUCUCCGGGCAGAAUAUGAGUUUGAGAGAAAUUCUUAAGUAAUUCUGGUUUGCUGUGUACACAGAAAAAAGCCCAGCCCAAAGCACAUCCAAAGCUUUCUGUCCUCUAAUUCCAGCAUGUGGCUACUUCCCAACUCUGCAAAGGAUGUUCGAGCUCAGCCUAACAUUUCCACAUAUUCAGCUCUCUAAGUGACACUUCAUCUUACUACAGAUGAAUGUUACCUUCAGAAGACUUCACUAGAGUAACCUCUAGAAGUGAACAAGCCUGUGCAGCUUUUGUGUCCCCCUUGGAAAAACUGCAUGGACUAGACAGCUGCAGACACAAUACACAGCAUCACCCAUGUACUCAGGGACGUUGGAGCAGCUGUGAUGAGAAUGAUGGAUGUUCCAAAUUUGUUGCCAUUGAACUCCUCCAAUUUUAAAAGGUCACAGAGUGAAGAAAAUGAAAACCCUGUGUUUUGGCAGAGACAAAGUUACCCUGGCAUGGCAAUCAUGCCAACAAAUAGCUUUGUGCUCAUAUCUAACACAAAAUCCUAAAUUUCUAAAAUACCUUUUCAUCAUUUUUAUAAGGCUGUUAUCGCUUUAACUCUUUCAGAGUUUGAUGUAUUAUUAUUGUGCUUUCAUUUUUCUUGUGUUCAAAAUUUGAUCUCAAUGUAUUGGUAUACUUCUAAUCUUUUAUUUCCACAUAUUUUGCAUCUCUCGAGUAUCCAGGUAUCCCAGGCUUUCCCACACAGUCAAUAAAUUCAUUCCUUUUUUACCACUCUUCGUUCUGUAUCAGUUCUGUACCUGUGACCUUAAGAAAGAUAAUUCUAUUAAAAUUUUCCUUUUUUCAACCAUA